rnacentral:rRNA from 1 species
UACGGGGGGGGGCAAGCGUUGUUCGGAAUUACUGGGCGUAAAGGGCUCGUAGGCGGCCAACUAAGUCAGACGUGAAAUCCCUCGGCUUAAUCGGGGAACUGCGUCUGAUACUGGAUGGCUUGAGUUUGGGAGAGGGAUGCGGAAUUCCAGGUGUAGCGGUGAAAUGCGUAGAUAUCUGGAGGAACACCGGUGGCGAAGGCGGGUCUCUGGGCAGUAACUGACGCUGAGGAGCGAAAGCGUGGGGAGCGAACAGG